rnacentral:lncRNA from 1 species
CAACCCCAUGGACUGUAGCUCACCAGGCCCACGUCUCCUGCACUGCAGGCCGAUUCUUUGCUAUCUGAGCCACCAGGGAAGCCCCCAAUAUAGGAAAAAGUUAAAAAAAAAAAAAAAAGUGGAAGUCAACCAGAAGAUUAAUAUACUGCAUCCGGAUACAAUGUUCUCUGUCCUACCUCAGAGAGGGUGCAGCCUGGAAGGGUCUCAGUUCUCAGAAACAGAUCCAACCGGACCAAUUCGCCUCACAUGGUCACCCCAGCCAAUCAACUCUUGCUGAGAGUCUGGAUCCCAUGGGAUAAACGUGGCUGCUUUGAGCAACUACCAAAAACGAAGGCCAGUACAAGCUGGACUACACUAAUUCCACACUUCUUUCAUAUGCUUGAGGUUCCAGCUGUCCUGGAGUUAAAGAUUCAGCUGAAAUCUGUGACCGAGUAGAAAUCUUAAUUCAAUGUGGAAAAUAUGGCUGCCAGACUUAGCAAAUAAAAGUACAAGAUGCCCAAUCAAAUUUGAAUACUUAACAAAAACAAUUUAUCUCAUGUGAUAUUUGGGACCUACUUAUACUAAAAAAAAAAAAGCUUCAUUGUUUGAAGUUCAAGUGUAACUGAGCAUCCUAUAUUUAACUGCCAAAUGGAGUGGAAAGCUGGCCCUUUUGCGGGACUCUGAAUUCUUGACAUUUCCAAAAUAAUAAUCACAUCUCUGGGAAUUUAAGCACCCAGGACAGAUGUAAGGGUUUUGAAUAUGCCACAUCGAGGACACUGAGAGUGAAGCCAGCAUCCUGAGAGCAAGAGGUGGGCCUGCAUAAUUAUCAGUGAGUUAAAUUGCUUUGUUGCAGAGAGCUAGCUUAUUAAACAUGCAUUUCAAUUUUGGAGUGAUUGGCUGAAGAACUUGAUUAUCAACAGAUGGGAAAUCUCUCGCUGCAGCCGUGACCUUUACCUGUCAUGCUGGCACACAGGACCACAUCAAAAUGACACUGGGGCAACUUGAUGCCAGUCUCCAGAGCCUCUGAACAGGGCAUCCUGGGCUUCCCCAGGGCUAGGGUGGGAAGGUGGAGGGCCAC